GAUGAACGCUGGCGGCGUGCCUAAUACAUGCAAGUCGAGCGAACGGACGAGAAGCUUGCUCCUCUGAUGUUAGCGGCGGACGGGUGAGUAACACGUGGAUAACCUACCUAUAAGACUGGGAUAACUUCGGGAAACCGGAGCUAAUACCGGAGAAUAUUUUGAACCGCAUGGUUCAAAAGUGAAAGACGGUUUUGCUGUCUCUUUUAGAUGGUGCCGGGCUGCAUUGGCUAGUUGGUAAGGUAACGGCGUACCAAGGCAACGAUGCAUAGCCGAUCUGAGAGGGUGAUCGGCCACACUGGAACUGAGACACGGUCCAGACUCCUACGGGAGGCAGCAGUAGGGAAUAUUCCGCAAUGGGCGAAAGCCUGACGGAGCAACGCCGCGUGAGUGAUGAAGGUCUUCGGAUCGUAAAACUCUGUUAUUAGGGAAGAAAAUAUGUGUAAGUAACUGUGCACGUCUUGACGGUACCUAAUCAGAAAGCCACGGCUAACUACGUG
rnacentral:rRNA from 1 species